UUAUGGCCAUAUCAUAUUGAAACACUGGUUCUUGUACAAUCACCAAAGUUAAGCAACAUUGGAACUGAUCAGUACUUAGAUGGGUGACUACUUGGGAAUACCAGGUACUGUAAG
rnacentral:rRNA from 1 species